rnacentral:rRNA from 1 species
AUGACUGGUUUUUGGGACGAGGAACUGAUCAGAUCUAUAUUCAUAUCGGUUGAUGUAGACAGGAUCAUGCAAAUUCCCCUCAACUAUGGGGCUUUCGAGGACUUUAUCACAUACCACCCGGAUCAUAAAGGGUUUUUCUCUGUGAAAUCAGCAUACAAAGUACAAUGGAUACGAUCUUUCCAGGCACAUGCAACGGUGAUGGCGCGACUUGGAGGCUCAAGAACUCCAGCAGUGUGGAGUACACUAUGGAAACAAAAGGUCCCACGUAAAAUUCAAAAAUUUUGUUGGCGUUCUCUACAUGGUAUUAUUCCACUAAAGUCCAUACUCACGAACCAUCAUAUUGCAACUAAUGGGGCAUGUCCUAUAUGUCAUCAAGAUGCGGAAGAUGUCUGCCACCUACUGUUUGAUUGUUGCAAUGCCAAGCACCUCUGGGAAUGCCUAGGCAUUGCGGGAAGCAAAGUUGAUUGA